rnacentral:rRNA from 1 species
UACGUAGGGGGCUAGCGUUGUCCGGAUUUAUUGGGCGUAAAGAGCGUGUAGGCGGCCAGGUAGGUCUGGUGUGAAAACUCGAGGCUUAACCUCGAGAUGUCAUCGGAAACCAUCUGGCUAGAGUCCGGAAGAGGAGAGUGGAAUUCCCGGUGUAGCGGUGAAAUGCGCAGAUAUCGGGAAGAACACCCGUGGCGAAGGCGGUUCUCUGGGACGGUACUGACGCUGAGACGCGAAAGCGUGGGGAGCGAACAGG